rnacentral:rRNA from 1 species
CCUACGGGAGGCUGCAGAGGGGAAUAUUGGACAAUGGGGGCAACCCUGAUCCAGCCAUGCCGCGUGUGUGAAGAAGGCCCUCGGGUUGUAAAGCACUUUCAGUGAGGAAGAACGCCUGGUGGUUAAUACCCAUCAGGAAAGACAUCACUCACAGAAGAAGCACCGGCUAACUCCGUGCCAGCAGCCGCGGUAAUACGGAGGGUGCGAGCGUUAAUCGGAAUUACUGGGCGUAAAGCGCGCGUAGGUGGCUUGAUAAGCCGGUUGUGAAAGCCCCGGGCUCAACCUGGGAACGGCAUCCGGAACUGUCAAGCUAGAGUGCAGGAGAGGAAGGUAGAAUUCCCGGUGUAGCGGUGUAAUGCGUAGAGAUCGGGAGGAAUACCAGUGGCGAAGGCGGCCUUCUGGACUGACACUGACACUGAGGUGCGAAAGCGUGGGUAGCAAACAGGAUUAGAUACCCUAGUAGUC